AUCAUGUCUUUAAGGUACGGUAAUCAUGUCUUUAAGGUACAGUGAUCAUGUCUUUAAGGUACGGUGAUCAUGUCUUUAAGGUACGGUGAUCAUGUCUUUAAGGUACGGUGAUCAUGUCUUUAAGGUACGGUGAUCAUCAUGUCUUUAAGGUACGGUGAUCAUGUCUUUAAGGUACGGUGAUCAUGUCUUUAAGGUACGGUGAUCAUGUCUUUAAGGUACGGUGAUCAUGUCUUUAAGGUACGGUGAUCAUGUCUUUAAGGUACGGUGAUCAUGUCUUUAAGGUACGGUGAUCAUGUCUUUAAG
ensembl:lncRNA